rnacentral:snRNA from 1 species
GUGCUCGCUUUGGCAGCACAUAUACUAAAACUGGAAUGAUACCCAGAAGAUUAGCAUGGCCCCUGCGCAAGGAAGACAUGCAAAUUCGGGAAGUGUUCCAUAUUUUU